GAUGAACGCUGGCGGCGUGCCUAAUACAUGCAAGUAGAACGCUGAAGGAGGAGCUUGCUCUUCUGGAUGAGUUGCGAACGGGUGAGUAACGCGUAGGUAACCUGCCUGGUAGCGGGGGAUAACUAUUGGAAACGAUAGCUAAUACCGCAUGACAACAGUUAUUGCAUGAUAACUGUUUAAAAGGGGCAACUGCUCCACUACCAGAUGGACCUGCGUUGUAUUAGCUAGUUGGUGAGGUAACGGCUCACCAAGGCGACGAUACAUAGCCGACCUGAGAGGGUGGUCCGCCCCACUGGGAACGGAACACGGCCCCAGCUCCCUAGGGGAGGAGCAGUAGGGAAACUUUGGACAAGGGGGGAAGGCUGGCCGAGGAAAGCCGGGGGAGUGGAAAAGGGUUUCGGAACGGUAAGCUCGGUUGUAAGGGAAGGAAGAGUGUGAGAGUGGAAAGUUCACACUGUGACGGUAUCUUACCAGAAAGGGACGGCUAACUACGUG
rnacentral:rRNA from 1 species